GAUAAACGCUGGCGGCGCACAUAAGACAUGCAAGUCGAACGGAAGUCGUUAUAAAAGGAGAGAAGAUUUGUCGGAUUGAAUUUUAUAACAAUGGCUUUAGUGGCGGACUGGUGAGUAACGCGUAAGGAACCUACCUAUUAGAGGGGAACAACAAUGAGAAAUCAUUGCUAAUACCGCAUAUGCCAUAACUACCGCAUGGUAGAAGUGGGAAAGGAGUAAUCUGCUGAUAGAUGGCCUUGCGUCUGAUUAGUUAGUUGGUGGGGUAACGGCCUACCAAGACGACGAUCAGUAGCCGGACUGAGAGGUUGAACGGCCACAUUGGGACUGAGAUACGGCCCAGACUCCUACGGGAGGCAGCAGUCGGGAAUAUUGCGCAAUGGAGGAAACUCUGACGCAGUGACGCCGCGUGCAGGAAGAAGGUUUUCGGAUUGUAAACUGCUUUAGACAGGGAAGAGAAAGGACAGUACCUGUAGAAUAAG
rnacentral:rRNA from 1 species